GGCAAAGUCAUGUUAGAUGUUAGUAAUUAGUUCCACAACCACUCCAAGAACCACCUUAUCUCUCCAUUCACCAAAAUCCACCUUAUAUCUCCAAUCUCCAAAUUCGCUCCCAAGAGGGAUCGAACCCGAGUCACUUCACUUGCUACUACAAUGGCUUAUUCUACUAAUUAAUAUUCUAACGAAAUCGAGAUCUUCACAUAAAUGACGUAGAUCCG
rnacentral:lncRNA from 1 species